CUCAUUCUCUCUUGCUGCCGCCACAUAAGAAGUGCCUUUAACUCUCUGCCAUGAAUAUGAGACCUCUCCAGCCGUGUGGAACUAUGGAGUCUCGCUCUGUCUCCCAGACUAGAGUGCAGUGGCACAAUCUUGGCUCACUGCAACCUCUGCCUCCUGUGUUCCAUUGAUUCUCCCACCUCAGCCUCCUGAAUAGCUGGGAUUACAGGCGUGCGCCACCACACCUGGCCCUACAGUUUCAAGAUGAUGGGAUGACAGCAUUUCUACCUUACUCUCUGCCUGAACCAAAAUGAGGUGCCAAAGUCACAGGAACAGAAGUCCUGCUUUUGAUGAGACUACAAGACACCUGGAACCUGAAUCACAGUGUAGAAGAACGUCAGCAGAUGGUGGACACAAACAUGACCCCACAGAGUGGACAGUCUGGAGCAGCCAGUGGAUCCCUCCACGUGACCUGUGUGAAAGGAAAGGAAAAUCUCAAAACCAAACUCACCGUGCCAAAGGGAACUGAGUCAUGCAAUGCCUGCCUUCCUUCUGUUUCCAGACAGCUGUGAUCCCCACGCCUGCGUUUUCGCAUGUCAAAUAUAGAACUACUGAGCAUGAGACGGAUGCAUGACUGGCUUUCCCUGAACUCUGUUCUUUUUCUUUUUCUUUUUUUUUUUUUUUUUUUUGAGAUGGAGUCUCAUUCUGUCAUCCAGGCUGGAGUGCAGUGGGGCGAUCUUGGCUCAUUGCAACCUCCGCCUCCUGGGUCUAAACCAGCCUCCUGACUCAGCCUCCCGAGUAGCUGGGAUUACAGGCACAUGCCACCAUGCCCGGCUAAUUUUUUUUGUAUUUUUAGUAGGGAUGGGGUUUGGCAUAUUGACCAGGCUGGUCUCAAACUCCUGGCCUCAAGUGAUCUACCCAUAUCAGCCUCCGAAAGUGUUGGGAUUACAGGCAUGAGCCACCACACCCGGCCGGCUCCAUUCUUUACACAGGUGAAAUGUAGAUUCUCUGAGUGCUAAUCAGAGCCUCAAGAGAAUGUGGCCUCUCACCUGUUUGCCUACCCUCUUUGUUUCCCUUUUCUCCUUUCUCUUGAAACACUGAAGUCCUCAAAACCCUCUUUGGUAAAAGCACAGGACACAGAUUCUAUUGUGGCUUGUGUUUCUUUUUCCCGGGCACAUGCUCAACGUCAGCAAAAUAAAUCUCUAAGCCGAU